rnacentral:rRNA from 1 species
GAUGAACGCUGGCGGCGUGCCUAAUACAUGCAAGUCGAGCGAACAGACGAGGAGCUUGCUCCUCUGACGUUAGCGGCGGACGGGUGAGUAACACGUGGAUAAGCGAUAUAUAGGACUGGGAUAACGUCGUGAAACCUGAGCUAAUACCGGGUAAUAGAGAGAACAGCAUGGCUCAAGAGGGAAAGACGGUUUUGCGGUCACUUAGAGAUGUAUUCGCGCCGCAUUAGCUAGUUGGUAAGGUAACGGCUUACCAAGGCAACGAUGCGUAGCCGACCUGAGAGGGUGAUCGGACACCCUGGAACUGAGACACGGUCCAGACUCCUACGGGAGGCAGCAGUAGGGAAUCUUCCGCAAUGGGGGAAAGCCUGACGGAGCAACGCCGCGUGAGUGAUGAAGGUCUUCGGAUCGUAAAACUCUGUUAUUAGGGAAGAACAAAUGUGUAAGUAACUAUGCACGUCUUGACGGUACCUAAUCAGAAAGCCACGGCUAACUACGUG